GGGUUGUGAGGUUAAGCGACUAAGCGUACACGGUGGAUGCCCUGGCAGUCAGAGGCGAUGAAGGACGUGCUAAUCUGCGAUAAGCGUCGGUAAGGUGAUAUGAACCGUUAUAACCGGCGAUUUCCGAAUGGGGAAACCCAGUGUGUUUCGGCACACUAUCAUUAACUGAAUCCAUAGGUUAAUGAGGCGAACCGGGGGAACUGAAACAUCUAAGUACCCCGAGGAAAAGAAAUCAACCGAGAUUCCCCCAGUAGCGGCGAGCGAACGGGGAGGAGCCCAGAGCCUGAAUCAGUGUGUGUGUUAGUGGAAGCGUCUGGAAAGGCGCGCGAUACAGGGUGACAGCCCCGUACACAAAAAUGCACAUAUUGUGAGCUCGAUGAGUAGGGCGGGACACGUGGUAUCCUGUCUGAAUAUGGGGGGACCAUCCUCCAAGGCUAAAUACUCCUGACUGACCGAUAGUGAACCAGUACCGUGAGGGAAAGGCGAAAAGAACCCCGGCGAGGGGAGUGAAAAAGAACCUGAAACCGUGUACGUACAAGCAGUGGGAGCCUCUUUAUGGGGUGACUGCGUACCUUUUGUAUAAUGGGUCAGCGACUUAUAUUCUGUAGCAAGGUUAACCGAAUAGGGGAGCCGAAGGGAAACCGAGUCUUAACUGGGCGUUAAGUUGCAGGGUAUAGACCCGAAACCCGGUGAUCUAGCCAUGGGCAGGUUGAAGGUUGGGUAACACUAACUGGAGGACCGAACCGACUAAUGUUGAAAAAUUAGCGGAUGACUUGUGGCUGGGGGUGAAAGGCCAAUCAAACCGGGAGAUAGCUGGUUCUCCCCGAAAGCUAUUUAGGUAGCGCCUCGUGAAUUCAUCUCCGGGGGUAGAGCACUGUUUCGGCAAGGGGGUCAUCCCGACUUACCAACCCGAUGCAAACUGCGAAUACCGGAGAAUGUUAUCACGGGAGACACACGGCGGGUGCUAACGUCCGUCGUGAAGAGGGAAACAACCCAGACCGCCAGCUAAGGUCCCAAAGUCAUGGUUAAGUGGGAAACGAUGUGGGAAGGCCCAGACAGCCAGGAUGUUGGCUUAGAAGCAGCCAUCAUUUAAAGAAAGCGUAAUAGCUCACUGGUCGAGUCGGCCUGCGCGGAAGAUGUAACGGGGCUAAACCAUGCACCGAAGCUGCGGCAGCGACACUAUGUGUUGUUGGGUAGGGGAGCGUUCUGUAAGCCUGUGAAGGUGGCCUGUGAGGGUUGCUGGAGGUAUCAGAAGUGCGAAUGCUGACAUAAGUAACGAUAAAGCGGGUGAAAAGCCCGCUCGCCGGAAGACCAAGGGUUCCUGUCCAACGUUAAUCGGGGCAGGGUGAGUCGACCCCUAAGGCGAGGCCGAAAGGCGUAGUCGAUGGGAAACAGGUUAAUAUUCCUGUACUUGGUGUUACUGCGAAGGGGGGACGGAGAAGGCUAUGUUGGCCGGGCGACGGUUGUCCCGGUUUAAGCGUGUAGGCUGGUUUUCCAGGCAAAUCCGGAAAACCAAGGCUGAGGCGUGAUGACGAGGCACUACGGUGCUGAAGCGACAAAUGCCCUGCUUCCAGGAAAAGCCUCUAAGCAUCAGGUAACAUCAAAUCGUACCCCAAACCGACACAGGUGGUCAGGUAGAGAAUACCAAGGCGCUUGAGAGAACUCGGGUGAAGGAACUAGGCAAAAUGGUGCCGUAACUUCGGGAGAAGGCACGCUGAUAUGUAGGUGAAGCGACUUGCUCGUGGAGCUGAAAUCAGUCGAAGAUACCAGCUGGCUGCAACUGUUUAUUAAAAACACAGCACUGUGCAAACACGAAAGUGGACGUAUACGGUGUGACGCCUGCCCGGUGCCGGAAGGUUAAUUGAUGGGGUUAGCGGUAACGCGAAGCUCUUGAUCGAAGCCCCGGUAAACGGCGGCCGUAACUAUAACGGUCCUAAGGUAGCGAAAUUCCUUGUCGGGUAAGUUCCGACCUGCACGAAUGGCGUAAUGAUGGCCAGGCUGUCUCCAC
rnacentral:rRNA from 1 species